AUUUGACGUUAGCUGCAGAAGAAGCACCGGCUAACUCCGUGCCAGCAGCCGCGGUAAUACGGAGGGUGCGAGCGUUAAUCGGAAUUACUGGGCGUAAAGCGCAUGCAGGUGGUUUGUUAAGUCAGAUGUGAAAGCCCGGGGCUCAACCUCGGAAUAGCAUUUGAAACUGGCAGACUAGAGUACUGUAGAGGGGGGUAGAAUUUCAGGUGUAGCGGUGAAAUGCGUAGAGAUCUGAAGGAAUACCGGUGGCGAAGGCGGCCCCCUGGACAGAUACUGACACUCAGAUGCGAAAGCGUGGGGAGCAAACAGGAUUAGAUACCCUGGUAGUCCACGCCGUAAACGAUGUCUACUUGGAGGUUGUGGCCUUGAGCCGUGGCUUUCGGAGCUAACGCGUUAAGUAGACCGCCUGGGGAGUACGGUCGCAAGAUUAAAACUCAAAUGAAUUGACGGGGGCCCGCACAAGCGGUGGAGCAUGUGGUUUAAUUCGAUGCAACGCGAAGAACCUUACCUACUCUUGACAUCCUCAGAAGAGACUGGAGACAGUCUUGUGCCUUCGGGAACUGAGAGACAGGUGCUGCAUGGCUGUCGUCAGCUCGUGUUGUGAAAUGUUGGGUUAAGUCCCGCAACGAGCGCAACCCUUAUCCUUGUUUGCCAGCGAGUAAUGUCGGGAACUCCAGGGAGACUGCCGGUGAUAAACCGGAGGAAGGUGGGGACGACGUCAAGUCAUCAUGGCCCUUACGAGUAGGGCUACACACGUGCUACAAUGGCGCAUACAGAGGGCGGCCAACUUGCGAAAGUGAGCGAAUCCCAAAAAGUGCGUCGUAGUCCGGAUUGGAGUCUGCAACUCGACUCCAUGAAGUCGGAAUCGCUAGUAAUCGUAGAUCAGAAUGCUACGGUGAAUACGUUCCCGGGCCUUGUACACACCGCCCGUCACACCAUGGGAGUGGGCUGCAAAAGAAGUGGGUAGUUUAACCUUCGGGGGGACGCUCACCACUUUGUGGUUCAUGACUGGGGUGAAGUCGUAACAAGGUAGCGCUAGGGGAACCUGGCGCUGGAUCACCUCCUUAUACGAUGAU
rnacentral:rRNA from 1 species